ACUGAAUAUUUAAAAACAGUAACAUAAGUUUGACUCAGUUUUUACAUUAUCAAUUUUUUUCCAAUUUCAUUUUAAAAUGGUUUGAUUCUUAAAUUACCUACUUUCCACUCCUUAGGACCAUUAGGUCCUACAAUAAUGGCUGAUAUCUACAAGACAAUACCAACAAUAAUCAAUAGUAGGAUGACAUUAAUGUUUGCUUUUUCGAUAUAUGUUAUGUUAUAUUAAUGACUUAUAGUCAAAAUGGGAUUUGGAGAGAUUUUUUCUUAAUUUGGGUAGGAAAAAUAUUAAAAUGGUGAAUUAUUUUUCAUAUUAAGAGUCUAUUCGGCAAUGCUAGAUAUUCUAGUUACUGCUAGCUGUUGUAUAAAGGUUUACAGUAGAAUUAUUUGAUAAAAAUAACUAUUGAAUUA
rnacentral:misc_RNA from 1 species